rnacentral:rRNA from 1 species
UACGUAGGGUGCAAGCGUUGUCCGGAAUUAUUGGGCGUAAAGAGCUCGUAGGCGGUUUGUCGCGUCUGCUGUGAAAACCCGAGGCUCAACCUCGGGCCUGCAGUGGGUACGGGCAGACUAGAGUGCGGUAGGGGUGACUGGAAUUCCUGGUGUAGCGGUGGAAUGCGCAGAUAUCAGGAGGAACACCGAUGGCGAAGGCAGGUCACUGGGCCGCAACUGACGCUGGAGGAGCGGAAAAGCCAUGGGGAGCGAACAGG